rnacentral:lncRNA from 1 species
UCUGGCACAUCCUAAGAUGGCGGGUGAGUGGGGUCUAGGCUCAGGGGUCUCCGACGGCUCCCCUUCCCCUCCCCGAGAGCCCCCCUCACCCCACCUCCGCACGAGCCCGGGACUCGCCGCCCGCGCAGCCCCGUGUAGCUCCUUGUGUGUCUUUUGAUUUUUUUUCAGAGAUCCCUCUGUACUUUGUGGACUUGCAGGAUGACUUAGAGGACUAGCCCACUGUGCCGACUGAGCUGAUGGGGCAGAUCCCUCCUCCCAGUACAUCCUGCCUGGUGGAGCUCGGUACCUUGAGGAUCCAGACAACCAGGUGCGAGCACUGCUGCCUUAAGAUCUCAUUAGCAGAUUCCCUCCUGCUUUUACCUAACGUAACAGCAGAGUUGGUGCCUUGGUGGAGUUAACUGCCUGAAGCAGGUCUUCUUAUCCAGUGGGAGAAGCAGACCGUAUUCCUUCCAAUGAAGAAAGUUCUCUCCUCCUUUCCAUUAUGGAUGCAUUGAGACACGCCAGUAGACAGAGUAUAACA